CUGGUUUAGGCAGCUGCUAUAUAACAGUGUCUGGGGGAUGUUCUUUCCUUUUUUCCUGCGGAGCGUCAGAGUUGAUACCUCAAGUGGCGGGAACUAUGGAGAUAAACUUUAUGGUGAUAUCCUGGAAGUUGUGCAGAAUAAUUAAGCCCUUCAUGAAAACAUCAACAGUUCUAGAAGACUAUAUGAUGUACAAUUGUGGAUGUUCCUGAAUGUUUAAGAAUGUGACUUAUUAGCAAGUAUCCAGAGGAGAAUGAAUGAAUAACUGACAGCGCAGUUGGGAUAUAAAACUACUUGCAACUCUAGUGCUACUAAGACAGAGUUCUCUGAAGGCUGACUCAAUAUUAAAGUGAAAUGGUGGAAAAUCUACAAGCAGAUGCAUUUAGUUAUGCAGUUAUGAGGUGGAAUUUUUGUAUCAUCACCUGACAAGUGUGGAUGGUAUCACUGGAAGAAGUCCGACACCUGAAGAUAUUCACAUACCAAGAUUUUAACAACAACAAAAAUUUACCAGGUUUAUGCUUCUGAAAUAGUUUGUGGAAUUGUUUGGUAGUUAAUAUUUCUAAAAUGUCACAUGGCACAGAACCAGUUGGUUUCCACUUCUUUUAAAACUGUGAGCAAUCAUGUUUUGUGGAAAUCUGAAGGCUUUGCCAAAAGUGAAGACCCAGCUCCCUCUAGUGAAACUAAAGCUAGAAACUGCAUGUGGAAUCAAAGAAGAGAAAAUUCAGUUUUGCUAGAAUCAGUCACAUUUAACAUCUUAUGUUUUCACACAUGACUUCUCUCAGGAGAUUAUGGUGGCUGAAGGGAAAUAGAACAUACUUUAAAACUUUUUAAAAAGUGUAGCAUAAAAAUUAAUUUUUUUGUUUUAUCAGGAAAGGCUCCCCUGCUCAGUAAAGAAAAUACUAAGGGCAACAAACAAUAAGCUUCAGUAGCAGGGUGGAAAAAACUCCCAGUGGCUAGCUGGUCUCCUGUGAAGGAAAUCAAUCACAAUUUGCUAUUACUGAGGAAAAAACUUAUCUCUAACAGUAAUAAAAUAAUAAAUAGUCAAUGGAAAACCCAGGCACCCCGUGUAAAAAGAUGGAGAGAGUACUAAUGCAGAAAAUCAUAGUAAUGAGUCUUCCCCCUUUGAGUACAAUAUCAUUCAGGAAGUGAAAGAGGAAGAUCAGGUUGUGGUAUUAAUCAGUGAAGGCACUGAGGAAGCAAAAAUAUCGGACAUUUGUGAGAAAGCAAAAUUCAAGACUCAUGGGAGGAUUUGUGGUCACAAGAGAAAACAAGGCUUAAACCACAGCCUGGGUUCUGUUUAUGCUGAUAGGGAGAGAGAAGUAAGUUUUUUUUUUUUUAUGCACCACUGCCCAACCGCAUGAAAAGACCAAUGUCAUUGCUGUGGAACUUUUCUCUUGAUCAGAAAGAUGCUAUCAAUGCAUGUUCGUGUGGAAAAGAGGUCAGUAGAGGGAAGAGAGGCAGGCACACACAUGGGGACUUGUGGUUUCUUAAAGCAGGUGAAAAAUAACCAUGUGGGAGAAACAUCUCUGCUGCAUUCAGCCCUAAUGCAGUAAGGAAAGAGGUGGAGGAGAGGGGUCAAACAUCUGAUAAAUUGCAGGCCACAAAGGCUGCAGUGAGUGGCAUAACAUCCAGUAUGCCCUUUAGUAUCACCCUCAACCCUAAUGUUGGGUAGGAAAGUGGAAUGAAAGAGUAAUACACAGCAAAUGACAACCUACACUUAAACACACAUUUCAGAGUAUAAGAAAAACCAUCCUAUAAUCCCCAUGCUUAAUACAGAACUGGCAAAAAUGCUAGUUGGGGGCUGCAGCCCUUUUGAUUUGUUGAGGCAGAGGGCUUUCAGGCACUAAUGGAAUACACCAUUCCCAAGUGGUGCAUACCUAGCAAAACCUACUUUUCAGCUAAGGCAAUACCACAAUUGUACAAAACUCUCUAAUAACAGUGUCCAAGGCAUUGAGAAUGUCAGAGGUGAGGAGCAUCCAUCUGACCACUGAAAUGUGGACUAGUGGUCAGACCAGGGGUGGGCAAACUUUUUUUGGCCUGAGGGCCAUAUCAGGGUUGCACAACUGUAUGGAAGGCUGGGUAGGGAAGGCUGUACCUCCCCAAACAGCAUGGCCCCCACCCCCUGUCCAUACCCCACUGCCUGUCACCUGACUGCCAUGACAGCUGCCCCCCCAUAACCUCUGCUCCAUCUAACCGCUCCCUGUCCCCUGACUGCCCCCGGAACCUCCCGCCCCCUUACCAUACUGGAGCCACCCACGCCACUGCCAUGAGUGGUGGGCCAGAGCACUAGUGGCGCAGUGCGCUGAGGCUGCAGGGAAGGGGCUGGGCAGGAUGGUACUGUGGGCCAUGGUUUGCCCACCUCUGGGUCAUGGACUGUGUAUCAGCUCAUUGAGUAUCUCUUCCUUUUCAGUUACCUGUGGCAGCAGGUAGCCAGACCCUUUGGCUACAGACUACAGCCUGCAAAACUGUAUUUUCCAUUUUGAAAAACCCUACAAUCCUUUGUGUAUUGGAGAAACUGCAGAAUGUUAAUGCAGAAUGGCUUUCCCCUUGCUCACUUUUAGCAGGGUUUAUUACUUCUGACAAUGGCACAUACCACAUUAGUCCCAUUAAGGAAGGGGGGAUACUUCAAUGUGCCAUGCUUUGUACACAUUUCCUGAUGCAAUAGUUCAUUCAUUACUGAACAAAGAUGAUGUGAAAAACAUGCUGGCCAUUGCACAUAAAGUCUGCAGUCACUUCAGCCAUUCCUUUACAGCUGCUUAUACUUUACAAGAACUGCAAAGGCAAAAUGGCCUUCCAUUGCACCAACUACCAAACACCAUGGACUAAACCAGUGGUUCUCAAACUUUUGGACUGGUAACCCCUUUCACAUAGUGCACCCCCUUAUCAAUUAAAAACACUUUUUAUAUAUUUAACACAUUGUAAAUGCUGGAGGCAAAGCGGGGUUUGGGGUGGAGGCUGACAGCUCCCAACCCCCAGUUUGAAAAACGCUGGGCUAGACAAACGGAAUUUCACUCUGUAUGCUUGAGCAGUUACUGGGGCAAUACAAAGCUAUUAGUGACUAUGCAGUGCCUCAGAGGUAUGAAGGAAGCAAUCCGUUUCUAACGCUUCCACAGUGGCGUUUUAAGAAGUCUGUAGUAGGCGGAGACCUUUUGAUGAAGCUUUCUGAUGGGGUGCUAAAAAGAUGCUAGUCUUAGCCAAGUCAGUCUGCUCAUUAGCCUCCUAGAGGGGGAAAAAAGUGCCACCUGCAAGAACAGUUUGGAGAAGUGGAUGUUAUUGCAGCAGUAUAUUGGCUAAAUAGUAUUUUAGCCAUUCUGAAAGAAGGCUCCUAUAAUUUAUAUUAGGGGGUCUGAGGAGUACAUUCUUGCUUUCUUUAGAUCCAUGAUUUAAAGUACAUUACCUGUCUUUCUCCCAGGAGGUGAGCCUAAUACAGAAUAUUACCAAAAUGUUCUCUCGGAUACAGUUGCUAAAUGUAUUUCCACUAGAACUGGUGAGAAAACAAGCUCCUCUAGCAUCAGGUAUCAAAUAGAAGAAAGUUGGAGAAAAAUUGAAAGAUUUCAGUGUUCAGAAGGUGAGAUCUUUUUGGGUACCUCAUAGGCAUCACACUCCACACAUUCCAAAAUGUCACUCUGGGAUUUGCUCCUUGAUCUAGAUUUGAUUAAAGUAGCAGAAAAGGGUACCAUGCUAAAAGAUCCUGCAUCUCUGAUUAUGAAAUGAUGGAGGCCUACCUCCAGGAGCAGUUAUUUUACACAAAACUGUGAGCCUUUGAUCUCUUGGCUUGGUAGGAGAAGGAUAUGGCUAGCACUAAGCAUAGUAGCUAUGGAAUAUCUUCGCUGCCUUCCGGUGUGAUAUUCAUAAAAAUGAACAAGCAUUUUUUUGCCACUUGACUACACCUUGGAAGAUGACCUGGGAUAUGGGAUUAGUGAGGAGGGACUGGGAAGAAGUGCAUGAUGCCUCUAGUUUUUGGGGGGAAAUUACUUCCUCUGAACAAUGUAUCUCAACUUUUUUUUAGUGUUUGAUUUUAAUGUGGUAUUUUGUGUUCAUUACUUUGUGUGGCACAGAUAUAGGGUGACAUUUGAUAUAAACAGAAGUAAUUAAAUGUAAAUCAUGGCAGAGUUUUUAAUGCACAACAAGAAAAAUCAGUUACAUGAUUUUAUAAGAUUGCUGUUUAACAAGAUGUAAGACCUUUCAAACUUAAGUUGCUUUGUAAAUGAAGCAUUAAAACAUUACAUGCAUCAAGCAAAACUUUAUACAUCCUGUACCAAUAUUCAUUGGAUUUGAAUGUUGAAGUCUGUAGCAAGCCAGGAAAUGAGAAGUUAAAGCUACAUGUGAGAAUAAACCAUAUACCUUUUCUCAGA